UGGCGGACGGGUGAGUAAUGUCUGGGAAACUGCCUGAUGGAGGGGGAUAACUACUGGAAACGGUAGCUAAUACCGCAUAAUGUCGCAAGACCAAAGAGGGGGACCUUCGGGCCUCUUGCCAUCGGAUGUGCCCAGAUGGGAUUAGCUUGUUGGUGGGGUAACGGCUCACCAAGGCGACGAUCCCUAGCUGGUCUGAGAGGAUGACCAGCCACACUGGAACUGAGACACGGUCCAAACUCCUACGGGAGGCAGCAUG
rnacentral:rRNA from 1 species